rnacentral:rRNA from 1 species
AGUCUAGCAUGUGCGCGAGUCAUUGGGACUCAAUAAACCUAAAGGCGCAAUGAAAGUGAAAGUCUGUUUACGCGGACUUAGGGAGGAUAGUUGCGUACACAUUGUGUACAACCUCGCACUCCCGGGGCGUCUCGCACUCAUUGCGAGGUGGGGCGCACCAAGAGCGUACACGCUGGGACCCGAAAGAUGGUGAACUAUGCCUGGUCAGGACGAAGUCAGGGGAAACCCUGAUGGAGGUCCGUAGCGAUUCUGACGUGCAAAUCGAUCGUCGGAACUGGGCUUAGGGGCGAAAGACUAAUCGAACCAUCUAGUAGCUGGUUCCCACCGAAGUUUCCCUCAGGAUAGCUGGCACUAGAUUAUGGAUGAGUCUCAUCCGGUAAAGCGAAUGAUUAGAGGCAUUGGGGUCGAAACGGCCUCAACCUAUUCUCAAACUUUAAAUGGGUGAGAUCUCCGGCUUGCUCGAUUUAUGAAGCCGGAGAUCGGAUCAAUUAGUGCCAAGUGGGCCACUUUUGGUAAGCAGAACUGGCGCUGUGGGAUGAACCAAACGCAGAGUUAAAGCGCCAAAAUCGACGCUUAUGGGAUACCAUGAAAGGCGUUGGUAACUUAAGACAGCAGGACGGUGGCCAUGGAAGUC